AGACAAUAUAUAUAUACGAGUAUAUAUUACAUAUAAACACAAAGGCACACACGGUUUACAUUACUGCUCUUAUUUAGGUUUGUCGACACGACUGUACGUAAUUGGAGAAAACACAAUUGAAAGAGUACUACCAGCCGCAGGCUGCUGCACAACACACAUACAUAGUAAAAUAUUUCUUGGUGGACAUCGAUGCAUGGUAGCUAUGGUGGUGGUGGGUUGGCGUUGCAGCCGGAGAGGCAUUCGUUCUUGCAGAUGCCCUUGGCCACCUCCUUGCAGGCAUCGCAUAAAUCUGGGAACAGAGGGGCGCUCGGGAGGCAGACGCCGGGGCAUGCCGCUUCGGGAACGCAGGGGCAGGAGGAGCCCUCCACGCAGGAGCACGCCUCCUCACACAGCGACUCACAAGUUUCUCCCAUCGCCGUGCGCCCCAUGGAAGCAGACACGACCACCAUCAUGCAGAUGAUGGCCGCCAUCAUCCCAACGGAAGCCAUGGAUCUCGAUCAACUUAUACGACGCUAGCUAGUUAAGCUAGCUUUCAGAAGGAUUAUAUAAGGCAGGAGGAAG
rnacentral:lncRNA from 1 species